rnacentral:rRNA from 1 species
AGUGAACGCUGGCGGUAGGCCUAACACAUGCAAGUCGAACGGCAGCACAGUAAGAGCUUGCUCUUACGGGUGGCGAGUGGCGGACGGGUGAGGAAUACAUCGGAAUCUACUUUUUCGUGGGGGAUAACGUAGGGAAACUUACGCUAAUACCGCAUACGACCUACGGGUGAAAGCAGGGGAUCUUCGCACCUUGCGCGAUUGAAUGAGCCGAUGUCGGAUUAGCUAGUUGGCGGGGUAAAGGCCCACCAAGGCGACGAUCCGUAGCUGGUCUGAGAGGAUGAUCAGGCACACUGGAACUGAGACACGGUCCAGGCUCCUACGGGAGGCAGCAGUGGGGAAGAGUGGACAAUGGGCGCAAGCCUGAUCCAGGCAUAGCGCGUGGGUGAAGAAGGCCUUCGGGUUGUAAAGCCCUUUUGUUGGGAAAGAAAAGCAGCAGGUUAAUACCCCGCUGUUCUGACGGUACCCAAAGAAUAAGCACCGGCUAACUUCGU